CUAUUUUGUUGGUUCUAGGACGCUGCUAUGAUUAAUAGGGAUAGUCGGGGGCGUCAGUAUUCAAUUGUCAGAGGUGAAAUUCUUGGAUUUAUUGAAGACUAACUACUGCGAAAGCAUUCGCCAAGGAUGUUUUCAUUAAUCAGUGAACGAAAGUUAGGGGAUCGAAGACGAUCAGAUACCGUCGUANUCUUAACCAUAAACUAUGCCGACUANGGAUCGGACGGUGGUUUUUUUAUGCCCCGUUCGGCACCUUACGAGAAAUCAAAGUUUUUGGGCUCGGGGGGGAGUAUGGUCGCAAGGCUGAAACUUAAAGAAAUUGACGGAAGGGCACCACCAGGCGUGGAGCCUGCGGCUUAAUUNGACUCAACACGGGGAAACUCACCAGGUCCAGACAUGCUUAGGAUUGACAGAUUGAUAGCUCUUUCUUGAUUGUAUGGGUGGUGGUGCAUGGCCGUUCUUAGUUGGUGGANUGAUUUGUCUGCUUANUCGCGAUAACNAACGANACCUUGACCUGCUAAAUAGCCAGGUUGANUUUUGUCGGCCGCCGGCUUCUUACAGGGACUUUUGGCUCAAGCCAAUGGAAGUACGAGGCNAUAACAGGUCUGUGAUGCCCUUANAUGUUCUGGGCCGNACGCGCGCUACACUGACAGAGCCAGCGAGUACAUCACCUUGGCCGAAAGGUCUGGGUAAUCUUGUUNAACUCUGUCAUGCUGGGGAUAGGGCAUUGCCNUAAUCGAAUUCCCGCG
rnacentral:rRNA from 1 species